CCGGGCUUAGUCACCCUUGAUAUGGGUUUCUGGUUCUAUACCACACCUCUGGCCAGAGACAAGAACUUAGAGGCAUCUUUCCUGCCUAGCAGACUGGAUUCCCCACUUCUCUGUUGCUUCCUUCAGACAGACCAUUCAGGCAUUUGCCAGUGAAUUGAGAGUGACCACACCCUAUUUCUUUACCUACAUUGUUAACUGUCUUGCUGUCUCUGUCUGACUUCUUAUUCCUGCCUCAUGUAACCUAGAGAAGGAGGACUGCCCUUCAGACUCAUUAUGCCCUUUCUGUCCAGGAUCUCACUGCUGUCUGCAUUCGAUUAACCAGGACUCAGUCAUGUGACCUGCAUCCAAGUACAAACAAAACUAGCUGGAGAAAAGAGAGUUGCAUUUCCUACCAAAAAGGAACAAGUACAAAGACCCUGUGGUUGGAGAGAACAUGGCAUAUGACACAUUUGAGGAACUGAAGGAAAGUAUUUGGAAUUAUGCUGUGUAUGAUGCUAAAGGAAAAAGACUUCCUCCUUUCCCAUCAAAGUGACAAUGUGUUGGGGAGGGAGGAGAGAAGGAAAUGUGGAAGUUUGUGUUUCGGUGUUAAAUGUAAUGGUCUAUAAAUUAUACUUCCAUGUAAUAUGAACUUAUGGAAAUUUUGAUUUAAAGAGGUUGUGUCUGGAUUCCUUGCAAUGGUACUGCAAGAUCUCAGAGAAAUGUAGACUUUUGGAAGAUGUGUAAAACCCCAAUUCCAAGAGAAGGGGACUCAGAUUUUGCUAGUAUUUUCCAUCUUUUGAAGCUAAAAAGUUGGGUAUGGGAGCUACUGAGGUUUUUUAAAGAACAGAGUUUAAGGAGAAUACUCCCACUCAACCUCAUUUAAAUCUGCAAUGUGUAUUGGGGAAGAUAACAAUUUUGUAUAAUACAGUGAUAGCUUAUCUAGUCUGGCUCAGCGUGUUUCACAGGAGGUUAAUGGGAAAGACUUUCUCAUCUCAGAAAAUGAUCAGCUCUCUUUGAAGUUAGAAUUUGAGUCUCUAUGCUAGGCAGCAUUUUGUUUUCAUUUCAUUGAUUUAGAUGUGAAAUGUUCUGGCAUUUCUUAAUUCUGCAGAGGAGGUUUGUUUCUUUGAAGCUGAGAUGUAUGUGUGCAUAAUUAUAUGUGUCACACACAUAUUGACACAUGUCUACAUAUCUG
rnacentral:lncRNA from 1 species